AGUGAACGCUGGCGGUAGGCCUAACACAUGCAAGUCGAACGGCAGCACAGUAAGAGCUUGCUCUUACGGGUGGCGAGUGGCGGACGGGUGAGGAAUACAUCGGAAUCUACUUUUUCGUGGGGGAUAACGUAGGGAAACUUACGCUAAUACCGCAUACGACCUACGGGUGAAAGCAGGGGAUCUUCGGACCUUGCGCGAUUGAAUGAGCCGAUGUCGGAUUAGCUAGUUGGCGGGGUAAAGGCCAACCAAGGCGACGAUCCGUAGCUGGUCUGAGAGGAUGAUCAGCCACACUGGAACUGAGACACGGUCCAGACUCCUACGGGAGGCAGCAGUGGGGAAUAUUGGGCAAUGGGCGCAAGCCUGAUCCAGCCAUACCGCGUGGGUGAAGAAGGCCUUCGGGUUGUAAAGCCCUUUUGUUGGGAAAGAAAAGCAGCAGGUUAAUACCCCGCUGUUCUGACGGUACCCAAAGAAUAAGCACCGGCUAACUUCGUG
rnacentral:rRNA from 1 species